CAGCGCCGCGGGAAUACGAAGGGUGCAAGCGUUACUCGGAAUUACUGGGCGUAAAGCGUGCGUAGGUGGUGGUUUAAGUCCGUUGUGAAAGCCCUGGGCUCAACCUGGGAAUUGCAGUGGAUACUGGGUCACUAGAGUGUGGUAGAGGAUAGUGGAAUUUCCGGUGUAGCAGUGAAAUGCGUAGAGAUCGGAAGGAACAUCUGUGGCGAAGGCGACUAUCUGGGCCAACACUGACACUGAGGCACGAAAGCGUGGGGAGCAAACAGGAUUAGAUACCCCUGUAGUCCCUGUCUCUUAUACA
rnacentral:rRNA from 1 species